CGCAUCUACAAGAAUAAAUUCAUUCGUUUAUUAAAUGUGAGUAAGGUAAAAAAUAACCCGGGCGGUUUGGCAAUUCCAAGCCACUAAAAAUUUGUGAACAAGUCAUUAAAUAAAUCUUCACAAACUUCAAAUGAUUAAAUAAGUGAUUUUGAUACGCUAUUUUCGAAGGCAUGAAUAAACUCCAUUACAUCUAUAUUACAUUGCAAAUCUCACUGCUGAGAUGACGUGUGUAAAAACAAUGAAAACCCCAAAAAUGGACAAUAGGGUAUGUACACAACUCGUAAAAUUUGUAAUUUUGAACGGCUACCGCAAACAACUGUUGGAAUUAGAUUUCUUAUUUAUUAUUAAUUAAGAAGUCAGUUGAAAUUCCUCCUCAGCCUCACAUAAAAAUUCAAAAUAAUAGUACAUGUUUACAAGUCUAGCUCACAUAUGCUACAGAAUAGAACAUUCAUCCUACAACGGCAACUUUGAAAAAGAUACACAAAAUACCAUUUAAUAAAAUAAGACUGAAUUCUAAAUGAGCACGUUACAAUGGCACCACCUCUUGGCAGACAGGCACAUCCGUUCCUGACAUUAUAUCAUGCAUAUAUCGCGACCGGGCAGGUAGCAGCCAAGUGAUAGCGUUGUGAGCGCCGACUGUUUAUUAUGCUUUCUCAAAUCACGCAAUAAC